CAAGGAAUUUUGCGCAAUGGGGGGAACCCUGACGCAGCAACGCCGCGUGGAGGAUGAAGGCUUUCGGGUUGUAAACUCCUUUUCUGGGGGAAGAUAAUGACGGUACCCCAGGAAUAAGUCUCGGCUAACUACGUGCCAGCAGCCGCGGUAAUACGUAGGAGGCGAGCGUUGUCCGGAUUUACUGGGCGUAAAGAGCGCGUAGGCGGUUUUUUAAGUCUUGCGUGAAAUCUCCUGGCUUAACUGGGAGGGUGCGUGAGAUACUGAGAGGCUUGAGGGCAUCAGAGGAAAGCGGAACUCCCGGUGUAGUGGUGAAAUGCGUAGAUAUCGGGAAGAACACCAGUGGCGAAGGCGGCUUUCUGGGGUGUCACUGACGCUGAGGCGCGAAAGCGUGGGGAGCGAACCGGAUUAGAUACCCCCGUAGUCC
rnacentral:rRNA from 1 species